rnacentral:lncRNA from 1 species
UGCAGCCUCAGAAGCUGAGAUGCAUGGUGAUGGAGGAUUCCCUGCAGCCAUCCAACUGCUGCUUCCCUCUGGGACAGUCCUUUCUGCUCUGUGGCCUACAGUUCUGACCUGAGGAGGAAGAUGAACAUGCAGAAGGGGAGAAGAUCUGCUGGGAGGAGGCUCUACCUAUGAGUCAGGCAUAGCCUCAGGCCACCACAUCCAGGCUACUCUGCCUUGAACUCUACAAGGGUUGGGGAAGGACCAAUGACCAGGUAAGGUGUAGGGAGAAUAUUGUGGAACUUAUUAGCUAAAUUUACACAGAUUUUAGCCCAGCCUGCACAGCUGAGUUUGAAGGCACAAGGUUAGGAAAUGCUGCCCCCUAGAGACAGGAUCAAAGAAUUUUUAUGGACUGCCUGCCAUUAUUUAUUGCAGGGAUAUUUAUUGGAUUAUCUACCUACGCAUCCACCCUGACAUCCUUGGUACUCGAACUACAGAAGUGAUUAAGGCAGGCCACAUGGGGACUAACCAUAACGAUUUGCCUUAGAAUGAGGGAUUUCCUGAGAUAUGAGAUUUUCAUGGUAAAACUGGAAAAGCUUUCAAGGAGGUUGCAAUAUGAUGCAGAUGGUGGGCUGGGUGGAAAGAAGAAAUUUCCAAGACAGUUUCACAGAGUGGUGAGUGCUGUGGAGAGAGAACAAGGAUAGCCUCUUUAGGGGGGAACCUUUGAGCUGAGACUUGAAUGAUGAGAGACCAAUCUUAUAAGCCCUCAGAGAAGAGCUUUCCAGACACAAAGUACAAAGAGCCUGGUGCAGGAACAAGUGUGGCACAUUUGUGUGCCUGAAGUGAAAAGCAGGGUGAGGCUGGUUGGAGUGGGCAAGAUGCUGAUCAGUUUUCACUAAGAGGUAUGAGAAGCUCUUCAGGGAUGGAAGCAGGGGAGUUCCAUGUUCUGAAUGUAAUUUUCGAAAGAUCAGGCCAUCUUCUGGGUGAGAUGGAACUGGAGGGGAGGGAAUGAGCAGAAGGACCAGGUAGGAGGCUGUUGCAAGUGGGCAGGUGAUGAUGUGACUGGAUGAAGUUGGCAGUGGGUAUAGAGAAAAAGGACAGGGAAGAUCAUCUGGAUUUACCAGGGCAUUGGAUGCGGCAUGUGAAGGAAUGGGAGGACUCAGGGAUGGAGCCUGGUUUGAACCUGUGGUCAUGGUGAAUAAGGACAUGCCUCAGGGGAUAUCAGCAGUCCUUCUGUGUGGUAUGAAGGAAGAGAGAGGGGGAAGUUCUGACAAGUCAAAUAAACUCAAUCAACAAGAAGAUAGCUCAGGGCAGGUGUCCUUGACGUAACACUAUGGGAGAAGAUAGAUGUUUGGAAUGUGGCUUUUUUUGUGGGGAGUGAGGAAGGAAUUUCUUAGGAGGCAGAAUGUCUGCAAAUGGGAGUUAGAAAUCUGUUUUAAUGGGAUGAGGACAUAGCUCAGUGGUAGAAGUGUCUGCCUAGCAUGCACAAAGCCCUAGGUUCCAUCUCCAGCACUAUUUAAAAAAAAAAAAAAAAAUCUGUGUUAAUAUUGGUGAGGCCCAAUUCAACUCUUUUUUUUUUUUGUGGGGAGGGGUACCGGGGGUUGAACUCAGGGGCACUCAACCCUAGAGCCAUAUUCCCAGCCCUUUUUUGCAUUUUAUUUAGAAACAGGGUCUCACUGAGUUGCUUAGCGCCUCACCUGGCUGUUACUGCAGCUGGCUUUGAACUUGAGAUCCUCCUGCCUCAGCCUCCUGAGCUGCUGGGAUUACAGGGGUGCACUACCAUGCCCAGCUGGUGAAGCCCAAUUCAAAAGUGACUUCAGAAGGAUUGCCGAUUCAGUUAAUCUAUAUAGAACCUGUUUAGAUGACUUGAAAUGGAAUGAGGGAUAAUAUUAUAGGAUAACAAGUUAGCUGUAACAAACAACACCCAAAUCACAGGGUCUUAACACAACAGAAGUUCAUUACUCAUUCAAGUUACAGUUCAAUGCGGUUCUAGGGAAUGAAAGGGGGUGGUUCCGCUCCAUUCAUUUGUUUAUUCAGGGCUCUUAGACUCUUUCCAUCCUGUGCUACCACCAUCUUCAACAUAUGGCCUCUUUAAAAUCAUCACACAUUGAAAAGAGGGACUGCAGGACAUAAGGGAAAUUGUCAUGAAUCCAGCUGGAAAUGGCACAUAUUGCUUCUGCCUUCAUUCUAUUUCUCAGAGCUCAGUCCUGUGGCAUCCAUUCAACUACAAGGAGGCUUGUAAGUGGAGUUCAAAUUUAGUAGGUCACAUGCCCAGAAGAUAUCCACAGAUAUUGGUGAGUAUUAAUGGUUUCUGCUACAGACAGGGACAGUUGCUGUCAUGUAGGGGAUGCAGGGAUAUCUACCCUGGGAUGGGAUAGGUGUGUGCUCUUAGGAAAGGAGGUUGAUGUGAGAAGACUCGUAUGUGUGAUAGCUCCACAGUCCAUUCUUUCCCAUUCCCAUGGUCUCUCUCCAGAUAAGAUCUUAAUUAUCCCAAAUGGCCUUGUAAAGGCUUUCUCCUCUAUAAUCUUCUUUUCCCAUCAAAUCUAACCAGGAUGUCACAGUCUAGCUAAUCUUCUGAAGACAUUGCUUAUUCCUGGUAUAA